rnacentral:rRNA from 1 species
GCCCCAGACUCCUACGGGAGGCAGCAGUGAGGAAUAUUGGUCAAUGGGCGCGAGCCUGAACCAGCCAAGUCGCGUGAGGGAUGAAGGAUCUAUGGUUCGUAAACCUCUUUUAUAAGGGAAUAAAGUGCGGGACGCGUCCCGCUUCGCAUGUACCUUAUGAAUAAGGAUCGGCUAACUCCGUGCCAGCAGCCGCGGUAAUACGGAGGAUCCGAGCGUUAUCCGGAUUUAUUGGGUUUAAAGGGUGCGUAGGCGGAUUUUUAAGUCAGCGGUAAAAUGUCCGGGCUCAACCCGGGCCGGCCGUUGAAACUGGGGAUCUUGAGUGGGCGAGAAGUAUGCGGAAUGCGUGGUGUAGCGGUGAAAUGCAUAGAUAUCACGCAGAACUCCGAUUGCGAAGGCAGCAUACCGGCGCCCGACUGACGCUGAGGCACGAAAGCGUGGGGAUCGAACAGGAUUAGAUACCCGGGUA